rnacentral:rRNA from 1 species
GGAUAACCUUGCGAAAGUAAGACUAAUACCCAAUGACAUCUCUAGAAGGCAUCUGAAAGAGAUUAAAGAUUUAUCGGUGAUGGAUGGGGAUGCGUCUGAUUAGCUUGUUGGCGGGGUAACGGCCCACCAAGGCAACGAUCAGUAGGGGUUCUGAGAGGAAGGUCCCCCACAUUGGAACUGAGACACGGUCCAAACUCCUACGGGAGGCAGCAGUGAGGAAUAUUGGUCAAUGGACGAGAGUCUGAACCAGCCAAGUAGCGUGCAGGAUGACGGCCCUAUGGGUUGUAAACUGCUUUUAUAAGGGAAUAAAGUGAGUCUCGUGAGACUUUUUGCAUGUACCUUAUGAAUAAGGACCGGCUAAUUCCGUGCCAGCAGCCGCGGUAAUACGGAAGGUCCGGGCGUUAUCCGGAUUUAUUGGGUUUAAAGGGAGCGUAGGCCGGAGAUUAAGCGUGUUGUGAAAUGUAGAUGCUCAACAUCUGAACUGCAGCGCGAACUGGUUUCCUUGAGUACGCACAAAGUGGGCGGAAUUCGUGGUGUAGCGGUGAAAUGCUUAGAUAUCACGAAGAACUCCGAUUGCGAAGGCAGCUCACUGGAGCGCAACUGACGCUGAAGCUCGAAAGUGCGGGUAUCGAACAGGAUUAGAUACCCUGGUAGUCCGCACGGUAAACGAUGGAUGCCCGCUGUUGGUCUGAAUAGGUCAGCGGCCAAG